GAUGAACGCUGGCGGCGUGCCUAAUACAUGCAAGUCGAGCGAACGGACGAGAAGCUUGCUUCUCUGAUGUUAGCGGCGGACGGGUGAGUAACACGUGGAUAACCUACCUAUAGGACUGGGAUAACUUCGGGAAACCGGAGCUAAUACCGGAUGAUAUUUUGAACCGCAUGGUUCAAAAGUGAAAGACGGUCUUGCUGUCACUUAUAGAUGGAUCCGCGCUGCAUUAGCUAGUUGGUAAGGUAACGGCUUACCAAGGCAACGAUGCAUAGCCGACCUGAGAGGGUGAUCGGCCACACUGGAACUGAGACACGGUCCAGACUCCUACGGGAGGCAGCAGUAGGGAAUCUUCCGCAAUGGGCGAAAGCCCGACGGAGCAACGCCGCGUGAGUGAUGAAGGUCUUCGGAUCGUAAAACUCUGUUAUUAGGGAAGAACAUAUGUGUAAGUAACUGUGCACAUCUUGACGGUACCUAAUCAGAAAGCCACGGCUAACUACGUGCCAGCAGCCGCGGUAAUACGUAGGUGGCAAGCGUUAUCCGGAAUUAUUGGGCGUAAAGCGCGCGUAGGCGGUUUUUUAAGUCUGAUGUGAAAGCCCACGGCUCAACCGUGGAGGGUCAUUGGAAACUGGAAAACUUGAGUGCAGAAGAGGAAAGUGGAAUUCCAUGUGUAGCGGUGAAAUGCGCAGAGAUAUGGAGGAACACCAGUGGCGAAGGCGACUUUCUGGUCUGUAACUGACGCUGAUGUGCGAAAGCGUGGGGAUCAAACAGGAUUAGAUACCCUGGUAGUCCACGCCGUAAACGAUGAGUGCUAAGUGUUAGGGGGUUUCCGCCCCUUAGUGCUGCAGCUAACGCGUUAAGCACUCCGCCUGGGGAGUACGACCGCAAGGUUGAAACUCAAAGGAAUUGACGGGGACCCGCACAAGCGGUGGAGCAUGUGGUUUAAUUCGAAGCAACGCGAAGAACCUUACCAAAUCUUGACAUCCUUUGACAACUCUAGAGAUAGAGCCUUCCCCUUCGGGGGACAAAGUGACAGGUGGUGCAUGGUUGUCGUCAGCUCGUGUCGUGAGAUGUUGGGUUAAGUCCCGCAACGAGCGCAACCCUUAAGCUUAGUUGCCAUCAUUAAGUUGGGCACUCUAGGUUGACUGCCGGUGACAAACCGGAGGAAGGUGGGGAUGACGUCAAAUCAUCAUGCCCCUUAUGAUUUGGGCUACACACGUGCUACAAUGGACAAUACAAAGGGCAGCGAAACCGCGAGGUCAAGCAAAUCCCAUAAAGUUGUUCUCAGUUCGGAUUGUAGUCUGCAACUCGACUACAUGAAGCUGGAAUCGCUAGUAAUCGUAGAUCAGCAUGCUACGGUGAAUACGUUCCCGGGUCU
rnacentral:rRNA from 1 species